rnacentral:rRNA from 1 species
UGCAGUCGACGGCAGCGCGGGGCAACCUGGCGGCGAGUGGCGAACGGGUGAGUAAUAUAUCGGAACGUGCCCUGGAGUGGGGGAUAACGCAGCGAAAGUUGCGCUAAUACCGCAUACGAUCUAAGGAUGAAAGCGGGGGAUUCGCAAGAACCUCGUGCUCCUGGAGCGGCCGAUAUCUGAUUAGCUAGUUGGUGGGGUAAAGGCCUACCAAGGCAUCGAUCAGUAGCUGGUCUGAGAGGACGACCAGCCACACUGGAACUGAGACACGGUCCAGACUCCUACGGGAGGCAGCAGUGGGGAAUUUUGGACAAUGGGCGAAAGCCUGAUCCAGCAAUGCCGCGUGAGUGAAGAAGGCCUUCGGGUUGUAAAGCUCUUUUGUCAGGGAAGAAACGGUGAAGGCUAAUAUCCUUUGCUAAUGACGGUACCUGAAGAAUAAGCACCGGCUAACUACGUGCCAGCAGCCGCGGUAAUACGUAGGGUGCAAGCGUUAAUCGGAAUUACUGGGCGUAAAGCGUGCGCAGGCGGUUUUGUAAGUCUGUCGUGAAAUCCCCGGGCUCAACCUGGGAAUUGCGAUGGAGACUGCAAGGCUAGAAUCUGGCAGAGGGGGGUAGAAUUCCACGUGUAGCAGUGAAAUGCGUAGAGAUGUGGAGGAACACCGAUGGCGAAGGCAGCCCCCUGGGUCAAGAUUGACGCUCAUGCACGAAAGCGUGGGGAGCAAACAGGAUUAGAUACCCUGGUAGUCCACGCCCUAAACGAUGUCUACUAGUUGUCGGGUUUUAAUUAACUUGGUAACGCAGCUAACGCGUGAAGUAGACCGCCUGGGGAGUACGGUCGCAAGAUUAAAACUCAAAGGAAUUGACGGGGACCNGCACAAGCGGUGGAUGAUGUGGAUUNAUUCGAUGCANCGCGAAAAANCUUACCUACC